CGUUUUAAGGCAUUUAUUCAGACUUUUCAAUUGGUACUAUCAAACAACUGCGGAAGUUAGUAAACACAUGGGUUAAAGAAUGAACUUAUAUUUUGAACUUACAAUAGGUAGUUUAACACAAAUUAUCUUUUUGUCUGGUUUGUUUUAUUCAUCAUUAGUGUUCAGUCAAGAUACUCUGCAGACCAUAUUUCAAUGUGACUUUGAAAAUGGUAUUUGUGGUUUGUCUACUAGCCCUUCUUGGGUACUUAACCAAUAUGAAAUACCUGGUUCUAAAACAGGUCCUUCUCAGGCUUCAGGUGGUAAUUGAUAUAUUUAUUAUGAAAAGUUAUAUAAUGGAAAUCCUACACUGACCUACACUCAAACAACUCCAACACCAAGCAAUCAUGUUAUACUUUCAUUUUAUCUUCAUGCAUAUGGUGCAAAUAUUAUCAGUGUUGAUGUCACUUUCAAUGAUGCUAAUGGAAAUGUAAUUGAUGAUCCUUAUGUUAUAUAUGGUCAAUUGCAGAGUAGCAGCUUUGAUCCAUUUAUGCCUAUUGUAAUCACAAAAAAUCUUACAAGUCCCUUCCAUACUUUUGAGUUUACUGUUAGUUCUAGUGCUGGAGAUUUAUCUGCUGUUGCCAUUGACGAUAUAAUU
rnacentral:lncRNA from 1 species